AUUCUCACCUUACUGUAUGGGUAUUCUGCCUAAAUGUGGUGUACAGAUACAUUUAGGCAGAGCACUCAUACAGUAAGGUGAGAAU
ensembl:miRNA Mir1948 microRNA 1948